GGAGCAUAUUUGGCAAAGUAUUCUUUACAAUGCAUCCUUUAGAUUAAUUGUCUACAUUUGUUCAAGGAUAUAGUGUCUAGGUUGUUGCCACAUGCUAUCAGACCAUGUGUACAUUUUGUCCCAUUUUAUGUGUAGAAAAGUUGUAGAAAUGUGUAGAUUGUUAUUGCUUUAAAAUGACAGAGGAAGAAACAGAGCUUUUCUAAAGCUGGCUUUAGAAAUGUAAACUGAAAAAACUUGUAUUCUGUAUUACAGACACAUUUUCCCUUCUAUUAAGAAAAAUGUAUUUAAAAUUUUUUGAAAACGGCUAAGGGCAACUCUGAUCUGUUAUCUGAAGUCUUCCCACUCCAUGUUUGGUAAUUAAUUCAUUAUAAUUGCCCAUCUGCUUAUCCCCACACUCAGACUUUGACACAUUCUUUCUUCUUUAGCCUCUUACCAUUUGCUUCCUGAAGUUUUCUCCUGGCUCUUUCUGUUAAGCCUAGUCUACUUGUGAAUCAUUUGUUUCUAUUUUCUGCUCUUUAUCCAAUUGUUGUGCUUUCCUCAUUUUGCAGAAAUAUCUCAGGAAGAGGCUGUUGCUCUGAGAAAACGUCUUAACAUUAAGGCUGAGGAAGAUGUUUGCAAAGAACAAGUGAAGAGACCAUGGAGGAUUACUGUAAUUAUACUAGGGGAGAGAGAGAGAAAGAAAUGCUUCUAUCCUUUACUCUUCCUCCAAGCUUAUAAUAGAACUCCUUUAAAUAAGUUACUAAUUAUUUUGUUCUGUGGUGUCACUGAAGAGAAGGAAAUUUCUUCAGACCAAGGGGUUUCAGAAAACAGACCUAUUGUGAAAUGGACCAUGACAAUUGGUUCCUAUGACAACUCAGAAAGAAUGAAGAAAAGGUGGUUACAGCUUGGAUGAAUUCUGAUGCUUCAAGAAGUGAUCUCCAACUUUUCCAUGCUAAUAGGAUGCUCUGAGCAGCAUCUCAUGGUGCUUUUCCAGUCAGCCUAAGGAAUCACAUACAUCUGAAAAGAAGAAGAUGCAAGCAACAUCAGAGGGUCCUGUGAGCAAACAACUGGCUAUGAGUCAUAGCUUGGGAAUCACAGAUCUAAAUCCAGCAACCAUAUUAAUGUGUUGUUGAACUGCUACUCUGAAUUAACCUGGGACUUUGCUACCAGGGUCUGUUUCUGUCUUUAUUGCAGAAGUGAGGAUGUUGAAAAAGGCUGUGACACUUCCUUUUCAUUUGUAAAGCUAGCUAAAAUACCUGCACAUUCUUAAUUAAAAGUGACUUUACUGAAAAUUGUAGGAAAAAAAAUGUUAGCAAAUCUAAAAAAUGGCUUGGUUUGGUUUUUACUAUUUGACAAUUUCAGUCAAGAGUUAAUUAUUGACAAAGUGCUCAAUGCAUUACAAAAAUAUUAUUCUAUUGCCAGGUACAAGGGAGAAGCAGUAUAACAUUGUCAGGGAGUAUCAAUUAAGUUUAGUAAAAAUAUCUGUAACUGUGUGGGAGGAAGUUCCUUACUCACUAUAUGCCAUAUGACAGUUUUUUUGUUGUUUUGUUUUGUUUAGUUUGUUUGUUUGUUUUAUGUUUUGGUUUUGGUAAGCAGUACAGCAACGUAACAGCUUUUGCUUCUCAACAUAUAUCAGAAGCAGUAGAUAUUUCAUGCAAAUAGAUGUUUUAUUCUGUAUCAGAGCUGAAUGCAUUUGUAAAGGUAGCCCCACUAUGCUUAUUCUCUUCUUAUUCCCAGUCCUUACAUUUUAUGAUCAUUAAUAUGCAGCAGAAUUAAAGCUGUCAUCCUUUUCUUAGAACUGAUGCAUAUGCAAGUAUAAUGACUUCAUGUAUAACAAUGUUGACCAUCAAAUUAGACUGAGAUUAGUUUAGAUUUAAUAUCUUUGUUCAGUUGACCUAUGGUUGACUUAAGCAAAGACCAGGAGUGAAGUGUCAUAGUUUCCCAUUAAGACCAAGGAAGCAAAUGUCAGAUAAUUAUCUGUACUCUCUUGAAUACUCACAACUUUCUUGAUACAGAAAAAAAAACCAAGAUGUCCAACAGAUGUAAAAGGUGCCAACUUGGGAAAAAAAAAAAAGCUGCAUAAAACUCAUUCUUAAAUUUGCCUUUUGUAACCCAAAGCAGCUAAUGAAUAUUUCCCAAGACAUUAUGCUUUAUACUCCUGAUUAAAUAUCAAUUACAGUUGCACUUGCAAUGUUAUUAUGAUCCCAGUUAUCUUACAAGUAUUUUACAAAAUUAAUCAGUGUGACAAACCACUUCUUAAAUUAUCAUUCUUGUACAAUAUCAAAAUACUCUCAUGAACCUUAAAGCAUUUCUAGUCCAAGAAAUGAGUAUGUUAUACCUCAUUAGGAAACCAAAUGUAUUCCUUUAUUUUAAAAGGGGAAUUUAUUUAUUUUUUAACUACCCACAGAAUUGCCAGGCUGCUAGGUGUCUAUGGGUAUAUCUUUAGACACUCUAUUGUUUCAUAGUAUUUAGAACUGAGAAGUAAUGAUUAUGUCAAGACUGCAUGAUGCAGUCAGCUGUGAUAACAGGGGCUGAAUUAAGUAGCUCCCUCAGUUAACUUGUAUUUUGAUGUUCUGUUGCCUGCUACAGCUUAACAGAUUCUUUGAGUACAAAUACAGCAUAUAAAGCAUUAGCUAGAUCACUUCUUCCAUCACAGCUAUGUGAACUGGACUUUCUUUAUAGUAUUGAGUGUGGAAACAGCUGGAAUAUGCACAGUGGAUAUGUAAUUGAGAUGCAUUAUUUGCAGCAGGGAUCAGACACAGGCUAGAUAUAGCUUUCUAUGCUCCUCUCUUAAUUUGUCAUAAAAUGGAAACAUGGAACAAAAAGCUAUUUGGACAGCUUUGAAGGCAAAAAUGUUGAAAACAAACAGAAAAACUUCAUGCAUAUUAAAUUAGAAAGAAUUCGGAUCUAGGCAACUAAGAACAUGUGAAGGGUGAGAUUCUUAAGAAAAUGGUGCUCUCAUAGAUCCCAAUAAACUUACUGAGAAAGUGUCAAAUGUAUUAAUCAAAUAGAAAAAGUUUAUUAUAAAUAUUGCUUGAAUGUAAAAUAAUUUGUUUAUAUCUAAUUUAUGUAAUCUAUGUAUAUAACUUACUUUAAAAUAAUUAUAUUAAAAAUUUGCUGUAAAUAAUCAUGAAGCCUUUUCAUUUUUAGUGUUAAAACUUGGAGAUGGAGCUACCUCAUCAGAGAGGGCUGUUCUACAGCUGAGAUUCAUUUUUAUUGAAGGCAGUGUGAGGCAGACAUGAAAGAGGGCGGAAUGAAAAGUUUUGUGCUCUGUAUGAUGUAUCCAUGUAUCCAUGAUGUAGAUAAAUGUUAGAUUGUGGUGCACUUCUCAAUUGCCAUAAUCACAGAAAAAGAAAAAAGAAAAAAACCAACAACAACAACAACAAAAACAUUCAGUAUUGGUAAAACACUGUGUAUAAUAUACAAACUAUAACUUUUCCAUUGUGCAAAGACUUUUACAGUCUUUCUCAGUAAGCUUUGCACAGGGAAGGCUUUUUUGAAUGAGAGAUCACCAGCAAUGCAACAUUGUUUAUGAGAUUGUUUGCACACUACGGAUGCUUCAGAAAGAGAAAAAGAAAAAUAGUAUUGUUCCUGUUGCUGUGUGUGUGCAGUCUCAUUUUUAACAAUGUGAUUAGUUUAAACUCCCAGUGUAAAGUCCAAAAAUGCUAUUCUCCAUCUGUUUUCUAAUCUGAAGUAUUAUAGACUUCAUAUUUACUCAUUAAAUGUAAAGUUCCCCUUAGUUUUAAAAAGAGUGAAGUGUACUUACUGUUUAACUUAUUGUUCUUACAAAAAUACAUGACAUUUAUUCUGGCAGUUUGUAUGCCUGCCUUGUCUGAGUAAUUCUUCAUAUAGAAGAAUGUACAGCAAGCUUGUAAGCAGAAUAAUCAUUCGAGAAUAAAUAUUUUCUUCAGUCCAUUAGGAAAUUUGGCAAUGGAAACACAGAACGAAAUGGUAUAAUAUAUGGUAUAUAUAUUAUGGUAUAUACCUGAAAUGGUAUAAUGGAAAUGGUAAAAUACCUUUCCACAGGACAACAUUUUACUUAAAAGGGAGACAAACCUUUACAUUAUUAAAGACAAUCAUGAGAAACAUUAAUGAGUGCAGCUUAUCACUAGAAACACUUCUCCAGAAGGACACAUUUUAGGAGAUGGAAUUUUAAAGUUCCUGUAUACCACGUAUAGCUUGAAGCUUGAAAUUCUCCUGUGUUGCAGACCCUGGAAAGGAUGAAUUUUAUGGUAAGAUAACAAACUGAGAAACGUGCCUAUUUUAAGCAUGCUCCAUGUAAAUUGUGAAUUUUCAUUAGUAAAUAUCAGUAUUAAUCAUCAGGUUUAAGUCUUCUGUAUUUACAUGCAAUAAAAAUAUAUGCUUGUCUACAAAGGGCUAAAAUUAUCAUUGCUUGUUUUCCCAGAAGAUAGUCCCAUCUGAAAAAAUUUAUCCCACUGUACAUAAUAUUUUUUGCAUGUACUUUUUAUUUGAUAACUAAAUAUAUGUGAACAUCGUUUAUUUUUAAAGAAUGCAGAGUGACAUCCCUGUGAGGACUGUGCUUUGAGUCAUUGUUUCAGGGCAGUUUCUUUAGUGGUCUAAUGUUCACUGGUUCAUAACCUAGCAAUGAUAUGUUGCAGGUGAUUCCAAUCCUCAUCUAUGCUCUUGCCAUAUGUCUGCAUUUCCCUCCAAGGGUAUAUCCAUCAAAGAUUCUGACAAGCAGCACUAAUCAAUGUGUAUCAAAAAGGACUGGGUUACAGCUCUGGUAUGAAGCUUGGAGUAGUUGUGUCAUGGGAGGCACAGGAGAUGCCUCUAGUUAGCAUAUAUAGCUGAAUAGAUACGUCUGGGGAGGAAGACUUGCAAUAGCUGUCUUUUGAGGCACUGAGGCUUUUCUCUAAUGGCCUGUCUAUUCCAGUAAAUGAAAGUCAGUUCCAGGUGUCUCUUCAUUACUGCAGUUGCUAGUCUGCAGAAAAAUACAUCAAGGUAUUUGAAUAGCAAAUGAUGUAGUGUUAGGAAGAACCUGAUCAUUAUUUCUCAAAAGAACAAAAAGAUAACAAGGUGAAAUUCAGACUUAAUGUCUCAGGCAGACUCCACAGACUUGUGGAGUGCUAGUAACUUCAAGUUUUCCAGGUAAAAUCUGAAUAGACAAAGAGAAAUAUAAAUAUUAUUUGAAAUAGAUUCUGUACAUAUUCUUGUGACAAAUCUCCAGUAUUCUUUAAAGAAAAUAUUAAUGCAUCUUCCUCCCCAGAUGUAUCUACUUGUGUUUCUGUUGACUUACAAAUUUACAAUAGACUGCCCUUAAGUGAACUAAAAGUAAGCUUCCAUGUUAGGAAUUUAUUAUAGACCUGUCAGUUCAAUCUUUCUAAAAAUAAAAAUCUAAACUUUGGACACUAGUAUAAGACUAUUUUUUGUACUAGGUUUGCAAAGUAUAACGUGGGCCAUGGCUGGUUAUUUCAUUAUAUCAAUGUUGUAUAUACUGUUGUGUGUCUCUGACUUUUAGUUUUUAAUUUUUGAAUUUUAGAUAUUACUUUAUAAAAGGGUUAUUUAUAUAAGUAUUUACAUGGAAACUUAAAAAAUAUACCUUUUUUGCUUCAUUCGCAUGGACGUUGUGAUAUAUUAAUAUAAUUGCUUUUGACUUGUCAUGUUUGGGACCUGUAUUUAUUUGAUGUCCUGCUUUAAGAUAAUGAAGCAAUUAUGGGCUUGAAAGAUAUAGAUGUGCAUUUCCUUGCAUGAUAUUUAUUUGCUUUAGUUCUGUGCGCAC
rnacentral:lncRNA from 1 species